GACGAACGCUGGCGGCGUGCCUAACACAUGCAAGUCGGGGAGAAAAGGGUAGCAAUAUCCUGAGUAAACCGGCGAACGGGUGAGUAACACGUAGGCAACUUACCUUGUGAACGGGAAUAACCCCGGGAACCGGAGCUAAUACCCGACUGUUGUUCCGAUGUAGCAUUGCAAUAGGAAUAAAAAGACCCGCCAAGGGUGGUCACAAGAUAGGCCUGCGUCCCAUUAGAUAGUUGGCGGGGUAACAGCCCACCCAAGUCGACGAUGGGUAGCUGGUCUGAGAGGACGAUCAGCCACACUGGAACUGAGACACGGUCCAGACUUCUACGGAAGGCAGCAGUGAGGAAUAUUGCUCAAUGGGCGAAAGCCUGAAGCAGCGACGCCGCGUGAAGGAUGAAAUCCGUUAGGAUGUAAACUUCUUUUGCGGGGAAGAAUGUGCGCCUUGGGCGCAUUGACGGUA
rnacentral:rRNA from 1 species